rnacentral:rRNA from 1 species
CACGUAGUUAGCCGGGGCCUCUUAGUCAGGUACCGUCAUUUUCUUCCCUGCUGAUAGAGCUUUACAUACCGAGAUACUUCUUCACUCACGCGGCGUCGCUGCAUCAGGGUUUCCCCCAUUGUGCAAUAUUCCCCACUGCUGCCUCCCGUAGGAGUUUGGGCCGUGUCUCAGUCCCAAUGUGGCCGUCCGCCCUCUCAGGCCGGCUACCGAUCGUCGCUUUGGUGGGCCGUUACCCCGCCAACUGGCUAAUCGGACGCGGAUCCAUCGUAUGCCGAUAAAUCUUUUCACACAGUACCAUGCGGUAUUGUGCGCUUAUGCGGUAUUAGCAGCUGUUUCCAACUGUUAUCCCCCUGCAUACGGCAGGUUAUCCACGCGUUACUCACCCGUCCGCCACUAACUCGGAAAUCACUAGGUUUCAAUCCGAGUCCGUUCGACUUGCAUGUGUUAGGCACGCCGCCAGCGUUCAUCCUGAGCCAGGAUCAAACUCU